GCAUCUAUUAGCUUUUCGUUGAUGACGUGAUCUAUGGCUGUAAGACAGUCUCGGACGUCCUGCUUAGGAUAGUUAAGAGACUUGGAAGAAAGAAAAAAAGUCAUAAAGAGCAAAUGCCCUGAAUUUAACUGGAAUAACGGUGAGAUGAUGACAUGCAUAACUGAAGAGGAGCGGAGAAGUUCCAAGGAACAUACCGAUAAUUUACAAUUAGCAGAUUGAAUCCAAGUGAAGCAAGAAAGGCUGAUGAUUUCACGUAGCUUGACACAGACACUGAGUGUGGGCCACCAUGAAGGACUACAACAGUUGGACUGUGCGAACUGUCCUUGCAGGACACAAAAAUGGCCUCAAAUGGAAGUUUGCCACCUAUGGAACAGGAAAGUGCUACCUGGAUAAAAAUGUCACAGCCUAGCAUACAAAACCUCGAGUUUUCAGGAUUAUACCAUCAGAGAGGUCAUCAGAGGGGUUAGCGACAGGAAUUUGAAGUAUAGUGACACUGUGAUGCGACAACAAGGACUUAACCUGCAAUGGAAGGCAAUGUGAGAAAGAAUUUAUGGAGACUAUUGCUCUUUUAAAAGCCCUCAAGGCAAAAUUAUAUGCUACUUUAGCUUCCACAAAAAACUAUAUGUGCUACUUUAACUUCACAUCAACUGAAAACUAACCCUAUCUCUGGCUGUCCUCAACGGACUAUCAACUUCAUCCCAAGUCCAUCUGCGUGUUUGACCCUCUGGUGUCACUUGGCGUCCAUACCUGAUAUGAGGAGGGUCGAUGGGACUACUUGACACUAUAUGGCAAGCAAAUGAGAAGCACAAUGUUUCAAUAUUAGAAUCAAUUAGCUGCAUGAGUUUAAUACGAGUUUACAACUACAAUUACCAGCAAGAACAUUGUCACCGUCUAUCGCAAGAGCACUCCAUGAGUAAUGCGAGUCUUCUGGAGUAAUUCUUGUUACUUUUCCACUGCAGAAUGGGACAAAUUAGAGUAUCGAGGUGAUCUUUCAAGUUCUGGAACAAGAAUAUGCCAGCAACCUUUGAUUUACCUUAAAACAUUUAUUGAUAAUAUCACUUCGGUACUCCUCCAAGCAGAUGUUAGUAUCAUCGUGCAUCCAUCAGAAAGCCAAGGAUUGGAUAGAAUGGAUGAGCAGUAAAGACCCAGGAAACAACCAUCUUCAGGGCACAUUACAAUAGGCACCUGGAACAGUUCAAAAGCUGAAUAGGCUGAAGAACACGGUGAAAAACAAAGCAAGAUAAACAGAUGGGCAUACCACUUCAGUAACAUCAAGUUGUUUAUCCAUUUUCCAAUCAGAAAGCCAGUUGAUCUUAUGCAGAGAAUCCGUUGCAUUAUGUGCUCCACUAUUUACAGCCUGUUUUGCAGAAAGGAAGAGUAGGAUUUUUCCAUCCUGGCUGCUCACAGUGAUUUGUACUUUCAGAGAAAGUUUAGGGGCUCCAAUAUCGAAAUGUGCAUGAAUACUAUACUAACAUACCUGAAACGUGGAAAGAAAGCACUACUGAUGCUUGCUGUUAAGUUGUGUGCUGAUGCAGCGGAGUCUGAUUUACCAUCGCUGGUACAGGAACAUAACACAUUACAAGCAACACUACCUGGUAAUGCCACUCAAAAAAAAACACUACUUGGUAAUGAUGCCAACUACGGAACUAGCAAGGGUAGAGUCAAAUAUUCUAUUUCUAUUUCAUCAGUCACAUAAGUGACAAUGUAUUAGAGUAGUCUGUAUCUGUACAAAUUGUAAACUACAGAUUUGUUAUCCAAAGGUGGGUACUUACCAAACUGGUUUA